GAUGAACGCUGGCGGCGUGCCUAAUACAUGCAAGUCGAGCGCGACUGAUUACACCGUUCUUCGGAACACCGUAAUCAUCGAGCGGCGGACGGGUGAGUAACACGUGGGCAACCUACCCUUAAGACUGGGAUAACCGCGGGAAACCGUGGCUAAUACCGGAUAAUACUUUUAUACAACGGUAUAGAAGUUGAAAGGUGGAUUUCUAUCACUUAAGGAUGGGCCUGCGGCGCAUUAGCUGGUUGGUAAGGUAACGGCUUACCAAGGCGACGAUGCGUAGCCGACCUGAGAGGGUGAUCGGCCACACUGGAACUGAGACACGGUCCAGACUCCUACGGGAGGCAGCAGUAGGGAAUCUUCCGCAAUGGGCGAAAGCCUGACGGAGCAACGCCGCGUGUGCGAAGAAGGUCUUCGGAUCGUAAAGCACUGUUGUUAAGGAAGAACUACAGUAAGAGUAACUGUUUACUGUGUGACGGUACUUAACCAGAAAGCCACGGCUAACUACGUG
rnacentral:rRNA from 1 species